rnacentral:misc_RNA from 1 species
CUUCAAUCGAUCAUCUCUCUUCCUCAAGGUUGGGCUACUGUGAUAAGUUUCACGUAGAUAAAUUUUUGGAAGAUCUUGGUACUGCUGGGCAGGGUGGGAAAAAAUUGGUGAAGACAUUAAUGUAUUUUGAGGGCUGCCCAAAGCCAUUGGGUUUUACUAUUUUACUUAGAGGUGCUAAUGGGGAUGAGUUGAAGAAAGUGAAACAUGUGGUCCAAUAUGGAGUUUUUGCAGCAUAUCACCUGGCUUUGGAGACGUCUUUUCUUGCUGAUGAAGGAGCGUCUCUACCAGAAC